rnacentral:rRNA from 1 species
UACAGAGGGGGCAAGCGUUAUUCGGAAUUAUUGGGCGUAAAGGGCGCGUAGGCGGUGUUUCAAGUGAGGGGUGAAAUCCCUCGGCUUAACCGAGGAACUGCCUGUCAGACUGGAUUGCUUGAGUCCGGGAGAGGCGAGUGGAAUUCCCAGUGUAGCGGUGAAAUGCGUAGAUAUUGGGAGGAACACCAGUGGCGAAGGCGGCUCGCUGGACCGGAACUGACGCUGAGGCGCGAAAGCGUGGGGAGCAAACAGG